rnacentral:rRNA from 1 species
GCGAAUGGUGGAUGCCUUGACUGGUAAAGGCGAUGAAGGACGUACUAGACUGCGAUAAGCUACGGGGAGCUGUCAAGAAGCUUUGAUCCGUAGAUUUCCGAAUGGGGCAACCCAAUGUAUAGAGAUAUACAUUACCUAUAUAGGAGCGAACGAGGGGAAUUGAAACAUCUUAGUACCCUCAGGAAAAGAAAUCAAUAGAGAUUGCGUCAGUAGCGGCGAGCGAAAGCGCAAGAGGGCAAACCCAGUGCUUGCACUGGGGGUUGUAGGACUGCAAUGUGCAAGAGGUAAGUUUAGCAGAACAUUCUGGAAAGUAUAACCAUAGAGGGUGAUAGUCCCG